rnacentral:rRNA from 1 species
UGUUACCUACGGGGGGCAGCAGUGGGGAAUAUUGCACAAUGGGGGGAACCCUGAUGCAGCGACGCCGCGUGGGUGAAGGAGCACCUCGGUGCGUAAAGCCCUAUCGGCAGGGAAGAAACAGACGGUACCUGACUAAGAAGCCCCGGCUAACUACGUGCCAGCAGCCGCGGUAAUACGUAGGGGGGAAGCGUUAUCCGGAUUCACUGGGGGUAAAGGGAGCGUAGACGGCGACGCAAGUCUGGAGUGCAAGCCCGGG